CCGUCGCAACGUGGUGAUUUGGCGACCGGCUUGCAGGCCACGUAAAAUAAGCUGCUAAAGAGGUUUGGAGUCGCGCCCG
rfam:Skermanella stibiiresistens SB22 contig8, whole genome shotgun sequence.